CGAGAAAGAACUGAAGUUUCCACUUGGAAGAAAGAUUCACAUCAAAUUGACUGGUCAAGGAAAUGGGACACUGACUGUUGGUACGAUCUUCGUUCGAGAAAGAAAAGGGAUGUUCCAGAUACAGAAAAUCGUCAAACCAUUUACUACAAAGUCCGUUUCUGGGUGGAGUUAGUGGAACCGAAAAAGAUGUCUCCCUCACAGCGUUUGUGACAAAAGAUUUGCAUCGUUCCUUGGCGGCCUUUCAACAGAAGAAUAUUCA